AACGAACGCUGGCGGCAUGCCUAACACAUGUAAGUCGAACGAAGGCUUCGGCCUUAGUGGCGCACGGGUGCGUAACGCGUGGGAAUCUGCCCUUUGGUUCGGAAUAACAGCUGGAAACGGCUGCUAAUACCGGAUGAUGACGAAAGUCCAAAGAUUUAUCGCCAGAGGAUGAGCCCGCGUUGGAUUAGGUAGUUGGUGGGGUAAAGGCCUACCAAGCCGACGAUCCAUAGCUGGUCUGAGAGGAUGAUCAGCCACACUGGGACUGAGACACGGCCCAGACUCCUACGGGAGGCAGCAGUGGGGAAUAUUGGACAAUGGGCGCAAGCCUGAUCCAGCAAUGCCGCGUGAGUGAUGAAGGCCCUAGGGUUGUAAAGCUCUUUUACCCGGGAAGAUAAUGACUGUACCGGGAGAAUAAGCCCCGGCUAACUCCGUG
rnacentral:rRNA from 1 species